UGGGGGGGACGAGAUGUUGUCGAGGGCGAGAGCGUGGUCGUCGUCCUCUUCCUCCUCAUCCGAUACGACGCCCCUCCUCCACCGCCUCCGCUCCCCCUCCGCCGCCGUGGAGAUGGCCUCCGCCGCCGCCGCCGCAUCCUCCGCCACCGCCGCCGUCGCCCGCGUCGUCUUCCUCGGCGUCGACGUCGGCACCGGGAGCGCCCGCGCAGGGCUCUUCGACGAGAAAGGUAGGCUGUUAGGCUCGGCAAGCAGCCCCAUACAGAUAUGGAAGGAGAAAGAUUGCAUUGAGCAAUCGUCAACAGAUAUCUGGCAUGCGAUUUGUGCAGCUGUGAAAGCUGCGUGCUCCUUGGCAAAUGUUGCUGCUCAGGAAGUAGUCGGUCUUGGAUUUGCAGCUACUUGCUCCCUUGUUGCAGUCGAUUCAGAUGGAUCUCCAGUCUCAGUUUCAUGGAGCAGUGAUGCGAGAAGAAACAUUAUUGUGUGGAUGGACCACAGGGCUGUUGAGCAGGCUGAGCGCAUCAACUCUCGUAAUUCACCAGUACUGCAGUAUUGUGGCGGGGGUGUUUCCCCUGAAAUGCAAGCGCCUAAGCUCCUAUGGGUAAAAGAGAACCUGCGCGAGUCUUGGUCAAUGGUGUUCAGGUGGAUGGAUUUAAGUGACUGGUUAGCAUACAGAGCAACAGGAGAUGAUACACGGAGCUUAUGUACAACUGUUUGCAAAUGGACUUACCUUGGGCAUGCGCAUAUGGAACUAGCUAGAGAGACAGAUUCUCGUGAUAUGGAAGCGUGUGGAUGGGAUGAUGUUUUUUGGGAAGAAAUAGGCCUGGAAGACCUUGUGGAAGGAAAUCAUGCAAAAAUUGGACGAAGUGUUGCUUUUCCCGGUCAUCCUUUGGGUUCUGGUUUGACACAUGCUGCAGCACAGGAACUUGGUCUUUUUCCUGGGACUCCUGUUGGGACUUCACUUAUAGAUGCUCACGCUGGUGGUAUUGGAGUCAUGCAAAGUGUUUCUGAAUCAGAGUCUAAAGCUGAUGUGGCCGAUGAGGAUGCAAUAUGCCAUCGAAUGGUCUUAGUUUGCGGAACAUCUACUUGUCACAUGGCUAUCUCAAAGGACAAGUUGUUUAUCCCUGGUGUUUGGGGACCGUUCUGGUCUGCAAUGGUACCUGAGUACUGGCUCACAGAAGGUGGCCAAAGUGCAACUGGUGCUCUUGUGGAAUACAUAGUUGAGAAUCAUGUAGCUGCUCCUCUUCUUGCCAACCGUGCUGCUUCUCAAAGUAUAUCCAUAUAUGAGUUGUUGAACAAAAUAUUGGUGUCAAUGUCGCAUGAACAAAAUGCCCCUUUUCUUUCUGCCUUGACUGAAGAUAUGCAUGUUCUCCCUGAUUUUCAUGGAAACAGGUCACCAAUUGCUGAUCCAAAAUCCAAAGGAAUGAUCUGCGGUUUGACACUUGAUACAAGUGAGAAGCACCUAGCACUUCUAUACCUUGCAACAAUUCAGGGCAUUGCAUAUGGCACUCGUCACAUUGUAGAGCACUGCAAUUCUCUUGGGCACAAGAUUGAUACACUUCUUGCAUGUGGUGGGCUUGCGAAGAACUCGCUUUAUAUUCAAGAACAUGCAGAUAUUGUUGGAUGUCCAAUCAUUCUACCAAGAGAAAACGAAUCUGUGCUCUUAGGCGCUGCAAUUUUGGGUGCUGUUGCUGCGAAGAAGUAUUCAGGCCUUCAAGACGCCAUGAAAGCACUGAAUGCAGCAGGGCAGAUUGUCCACCCAUCCAAGGACCCUAAAGUGAAAAAAUACCACCAUGCGAAAUAUAAAAUUUUUAGGUCUCUCUACGAGCAGCAGCUUUCUCAUCGCUCGAUCAUGACGCAAGCGUUGCAGUAGACUCGCAUGUUUACUCCAAGGCCCUUUUACUGUGAGCUUAUUUCCUGGCUUUUGAACAGAGGUCCAACUUGCAACUUCCAAAAAGGUCGUAGAGGUCGGCAUUUAUUUUUGGACCGAAGUGGCGAAAUCAUCGGAAUUCUUACUCACAAAUUAUAUGAAGAUUGGUCUUUUGACUUUUGGUAGAACAAGGGCAAAGUCGAAUUUAUGAAAUUCAUAAGUUUCCCGCUCUCAGAUUUUUUUUUGUUUCUAAACAGGACUUAAAAGUCGUUUGUUGUUUGUUUUUAAAGCAGUAGUAGCUAAUCUUAGUGAGUCAUGUAAGAAUGUAAAAUGUUUAAUCAAGAAUAGUUUUAUAAUUUUAUAUUAAAUAAUGUUAUAUUAUUUGUA